AUCCAGCUGACAAGUCCCAAACAGGACGAAACGCGCGUCCUGGAU
rfam:Schistosoma margrebowiei strain Zambia genome assembly, scaffold: SMRZ_contig0000514